rnacentral:rRNA from 1 species
CCAAUAGCGUAUAUUAAAGUUGUUGCAGUUAAAAAGCUCGUAGUUGAAUUUCGGGAUCAGACUGUCGGUCGUGCCUCGGUACGCACUGGCAUUCUUGGUUCCUACCUUCUGAAUAACCGCGAUGUCAUUAAUUUGGUGUCUUGGGGAAUCAGGACUGUUACUUUUAAAAAAUUAGAGUGUUUAAAGCCAGCGCACGCUUGAAUACAUUAGCAUUGAAUAAUGAAAUAGGACGUUUGAUUCUAUUUUGUUGGUUUCUAGGAUCGACGUAAUGAUUAAUAGGGAUAGUUGGGGGCAUUAGUAUUCAAUUGUCAGAGGUGAAAUUCUUGGAUUUAUUGAAGACUAACUACUGCGAAAGCAUUUGCCAAGGAUGUUUUCAUUAAUCAAGAACGAAAGUUAGGGGAUCGAAGACGAUCAGAUACCGUCGUAGUCUUAACCAUAAACUAUGCCGACUAGGGAUCGGAUGAUGUUAAUUUUAUAAUGACUCAUUCGGCGCCUUACG